GACGAACGCUGGCGGCGUGCUUAACACAUGCAAGUCGAACGGAAAGGCCCUGCUUUUGUGGGGUGCUCGAUUGGCGAACGGGUGAGUAACACGUGAGUAACCUGCCCUUGACUUUGGGAUAACUUCAGGAAACUGGGGCUCAUACCGGAUAGGAGCUCCUGCUGCAUGGUGGGGGUUGGAAAGUUUCGGCGGUUGGGGAUGGACUCGCGGCUUAUCAGCUUGUUGGUGGGGUAGUGGCUUACCAAGGCUUUGACGGGUAGCCGGCCUUGGAGGGUGAACGGGCACAUGGGGACUGAGAGAGGGAGCAGUAGCGAAUGGGCCGCAGUGGGCGAGAGUAUUGCACAACGAGCGGAAGCGUGAUGCGGAAACGCUGCGUGCGUGAUACCGGGCUACGGGUUGUAAACAGCUUUGGCAGGUGCCGAAGAGUGAGUGACGGUAACGGGUAAAGAAGCAACGGCUAACUACGUG
rnacentral:rRNA from 1 species